CCGGCACCUUUACCAAAUCAGGUUCAACACACAACAUAUAGUAACUGAACACAUUCUCACGAUCCUGUUCAUCACCCAGAUGACAGACCAUACACAACUCUAAGCAUAACAUGCAUAGCAGGAUAAGGCACAUCAUCGCUCAAGCAUCUACCAGGUAUGCUAGGUUGCAAGGUUCAACUAUUUACUGUGACAAAGGACAGGUCAUGCAAAGGAAGUGGGUUCAACUAACGUGGUAAAAGCAUUGAAAGCAUUUUGAUCUAAUGCAAUAAGUAAGAGCAGGAGCGAGAACAUGGGAUUUAUCGGGAUGAUCAAAAUGGUUGCUUGCCUUGUUGCUCAGCAGAGGGGUGAUAUCUGUCAGUCGGAUAAUCAGAUGUAUCCGGAGGGGCGGAGCCUACCGGAAUAACAACAAUCAAUCAAUAUCAAACAUAUGCAACAAAAUGAUGCAUGAAAUGCAAUGUAGCAUGGCUUAAGAUGACUAGCAAAACCCUUUGGGAUAAUCUUGAUUUGAAAUCUUAAUUCAAAUACCAUUUGAAUUAUAAUUCAUCAAAUUCUUUUAAUUGAUUUGACCUGAUGCUGUUUCAUAACUUUGUUUUUCAUGCAAGAAAAUAGCACCAUUCGAUUCCUUGAAUUUUUCUGAUCAUUUUACAUAUAUUAUUUGUCAAAUUUGGAGUUAUAUUCAAUUUUCUAUGAAUUUCCAAAGUUUUGGACUUAUUCUGGAAUUGUUUUUAAACAGAAAAGGUUUUAUUGCAUCAGCAUGAAAUCAGCAGGUCAAUCUGGCGGCUGAAAGUCAAACUUGACCAGUGGGACCAACUAGUCAGUGACUCUGGCCAGGUUUUAGUUAAAUUUAAACUUAAUUAUGUAUUUAACAUGGCUGGACCCACAUGUCAGUGACUGUUUAGGUUUUUAAUUAAUUAUUUAUUUUAUUAACCUAAACUUAAUUAGCCAGGGGGCUGGCCCCGCAUGUCAGCUGCAUAGAGAGGCUCAGAUCCACCGACGGCGAGGUGGAACUCGCCGGCGGUGAGCUCCGGCGACCACAGGGACGGCAGAGAGCUUCAGGAAUUCAAUUCCGGCGACCAUUUGCACGGCAGAGAGCACCAAACGAACCAGCACUCAGUCGCAGUUCCAUUUUUGCAAAGAACCAAGGCUAAGAUGGCCGGAGAUGACACCGGCGUUGAGCUCGACGGCUGCCGGAGCUCGGGCUAUGUCGGGAUCGAUGAAACCAAAGGCAAAUCGAGCGGGGCUUAGCUCCUAGAGCACCUACACAACAUGCUGAAGCUUUUGGUGGCCUCAGAACGACUAGACGUUCACUGGAGAGCUACCGGCGACGAGCUCCCGCGACGGAUCUCGUCGGGCUCCGAUGGGAUCGGGUGAAAGAGGAAGGAAUCGAGGGGGAAAACUUGGGGGAAAGAUUCCUCAACUCACGAGGAGUGCAGAGGCAACGAAAGUGAGCUCGCGGAUGGCCUGAGGAGGGAUAACGAUGACGGCGAGCUCCGGUGACCCGAGGAGGAAGAUGACGGCGUCACGGCGUUUCAGAGCUUCUCGACGUCGAGCGACUGGCUUAGGAGCUUCAGGGAGCUUCGAGGAAGCUGUUGCGCGGAUCAGGAGAGAGGAAGAGAGGCUAGAGCGACUGCUAGCUCGAGCUCGAGCUCGCGAUCAUGGCGGCCGAGAGGGGGAGAGAGCAAGGGGCGAAUGGAGAGGGGGAGAGCUCAGGGAUGGAGCGGGGGAUCUUAUCCCUCCCCUCCAAUGCAUCAGGGCGAGGCAGCGAGCACAGAGGUGCGUGGGCGCACCGGGAGGAGCGGCGGCCACCUCCAGCGCCGACUGGCAGGAGGUAGACGACACGGGAAGGUGGGCUGGGCCAAGGUGAGCACUAGAUAGUGUUUUUGCAUUUUUUUUUCUUGCUUUAGUUUCUGUUUAUUCUUUCUUACAUUUGUCUUUAUUUAUUUUUAGCUCUAAAACCAAUUCAAAAAUAGUUUGAAAUAUACUGGGGUGUUAGUUGGAAUAUUCCCAACUACACAUAAAGUUUUCAGCAUUUUUGAAAACUUAAAUAUUUUUGAAACCAAAUAUAAAGUUGAAUUUAGUGAUUUUCUGAAUUAAAAUAAAAUGCCCAAAGUAGUUUGAAUAUAAGUUUCACCCCUGAUAUCUUGUUUUGUACAUUUAUCAGAAAAGGUGAACUUUUAUAAUGGCCAUUUUGGGUUCAUUGAUUUUGGCAAUAGUUGGAUUUCUUUUGAAUAAAGAGUGGCUAGGGUUUCGCUUUGUAUUUCACCACUUCUUUUGAGUUUAUUUCCAUUUCUGGAAUGCAAUGAAAGAAGACAUGAGCAAAAGUUGCUAAACCCUAUGUAGGGAAUUCCAGGGAUGUGACAUAAUAUAACAUAUACACCCUCUUUACACUAUUAAAAGACGUUUUGUGCAUAGCUAAUAAUAUAUCACACACUUGACUAUUUAAGCAAAAAACAUGAGCUGCGCCUUCAGACUUGGUGCUACUACAAGUGUUGAUUUUUGAAUUUGUACCUAAGCACAAGUUCAGUUCAUAUACAAAAAUAUAUUAUGUAUGUUUAUGCAUGACCAUGCAGAACUGAAGUGAAUAAUGUGGACGGUGACAUAUACCGAUUGACAUGGAAUAAUAUACUAUGCUGGUAGAUUUUCAAUCACGUGUCUAGAGGAGAAUUCACAGUUGUGUAAUUGCACAUGGUCAGCAAUGCUUUACCUCCACUAAGAAUGCAUAUUGCACACUUAACUAUUUUUAGCUAAACAUGAGGCACACCUUCAGACCUGCUACUACAAGAGUUGAGUCUGAAUUUCUUUUGUACCACAACAUAGGAUGAGCAGAGAGAGAGAGAGAUGACAGACCCAAGCUGCUGCUGAUUUGAUGGACAUGGACGAUGGUUGCACCAUAGAUUUUCUUUUUAAGAAAGCGUUCCUCUUUUCUCUGGUCAAAUCCUAGUCACCAUAGAAAAAUGAACAGGCCCAAAUCUAUUCAACAUGCUGUAAAGCAAUCUACUCUAAAAUCAGAGAGCAUGCAACAUAAAAAAAAGAUUAAACAAGAAACAUUUAGAUCUCCAUAGGCAUGAAGAUCGCCCCACCUCCCUUGCCUGUUUCUUGUCUUUCUCGUCCGUCUACACCUUCUCCUCCUUCCUCAUCCCCUUCUACUCAUUUUCUCUGGUCACGGAAUGGACCAAACUAAUGCCCCUAAAAACAAACCAUUCAGAUCAGAAAUUGUACAAGGGAUAAAUGAAAUUUUCUUCCCAAAUCAAGCGACGUAGAAGACCACCAGUGGCGGAGACGAGGCCGUGCCCCAAACCCUAACCACGGAUGGAUUGGGGGCGAGCGUUGGAGGCGUGGAGGGACGGGUCUGCUCGGAUGGAUCAACGCAGCACGACGAGGUGACCUCGGCAGCGUCCUGCACGCCGGCCAUGGCUGCCGGAGCUCGCCAAAGGCACGCAGGUGGCGGAGACGUGGUCGCACCCCAAACCCUAACCGCGUGGGGUGGAUUGGGCACGAGUAUUGUAGGCAGGGAUGGACGGAUCUGGGCGGAGGGAUCAACGCAACAUGGCUACAUGAGCUCGGCAACGUCCCGCGCGCCGGCCAUGGCUGCCGGAGCUCACCGACAAAGUCGUUGUCGUCGGCGGCUAACCCUAGGUCGCGUGAGGGGGCAGAGGAGAUGUGGCUGCGGGGAGAGUGUCUUCGACGCGGCCGGGUGGAAGUUUUCCUUUUGUUUAUUUACUUCCUUUUUUAUUCUCGUGGGAGAGCGUGGAGGCUUUCUUUAAUUGUUC
rnacentral:lncRNA from 1 species